GGUCAAAUCGGAUCGUUGGCUCGUGGAUUCGAGUGGCGUCGUGGAUUCGGCGUGAUUGAAGCUUCGUGGAUUCGAAGUGAAGGCGUUCGUAGAUUCGGACGUGAGGGCGUGGACAACCCGGAGGAUUGCGCGAGAUCCAUAGGAGGUUAAGAGAGGUUGAGUCCGUGGAGUCGGUAAAUCACCUUGUAAUCUUUUCUCUUAGUGAAUUAUUUUUUCGCGUGUUGGUCCCGUGGGUUUUUCUCCAAAUUGGAGUUUUCCCACGUAAAUCUCGGUGUGCUUUUUAUUUUCCGCAUUUAUUUUUAUUGCAUCGAGAUUUGUGGUUUUUGGUUGUUACACCUAUUCACCCCCCUCUAGGUGAUAGAUACAAUCUAGAUAGAUCCUUGGGCUCCUCAAAACUUUCAAUUGGUAUCAGAGCGGGAUCUAGAUAAAUUGUUAUCUAAUGGCCGAAGGUGGUAACAUUAAUCGACCUCCGCUCUUCGACGGUACGAAUUAUGCCUAUUGGAAAGUUCGCAUGAGAGCUUUUCUAAUUGCUAUCGAUGAGCGGGUUUGGCAAUCAAUUGAAUUUGGGUGGAAACAUCCGAUAGAAAAGGUCGAUAAUGUUGAAAAGCCAAAAUCACGGAAUAAAUGGAC
rnacentral:lncRNA from 1 species